rnacentral:rRNA from 1 species
UACGUAGGGGGCAAGCGUUGUCCGGAUUUAUUGGGCGUAAAGAGCGUGUAGGCGGCUUGGUAGGUCCGCUGUGAAAACUCGAGGCUCAACCUCGAGAUGUCGGCGGAAACCACUUGGCUAGAGUCCGGAAGAGGAGAGUGGAAUUCCCGGUGUAGCGGUGAAAUGCGUAGAUAUUGGGAAGAACAUCGGUGGCGAAAGCGCCUUGCUGGGUCUGCACUGACACUGAGGGACGAAAGCUAGGGGAGCGAAAGGG